rnacentral:lncRNA from 1 species
UAAAUAUUCCUUUUUUGUAAAGAACAUUGUAUAGAAUAUUUCUAGGUUGAUAUAUUAUUGUAAUAUUAGACUUCCUUAUUCAAUAAGGAAGGUUGUUGGAAAUAUCUCUAUAAAUAUUCUGGGUCAUGAGGGGAAAAAGUUAUGAGAUGGAGAUGGGCCUGGGCCUAUAGAGACUAUACGAGGUGGAUAGAGAUGUGAGGAAGAACGGGAGGUACCUGGUGGAGCGAGAGGGCUCGUAGUAAGGUAUGGAUACAAGGAGUGGAGAAACAUGGGAUGUUUCGGGAACCCAAUAGUUGUAUCUGGUUUUAUCCUCUGUAAUAUUCUCUAUCGUAUAGUGGAAUUAUUCUCUCUCAUCCGUGGACGUAGACAUGGUUGGCCGAACCACGUUAAAACCUCGUGUACCGUAUGUGUGAUUGUUUUUCUUUGGCGUGUGUUUUCUCUAAUUUUUUUGUUUCUCACGGGUUGGGAAUUCGGUUUAAUUCCCUACAACUGGUAUCAGAGCUUGGGUUGAAGAUUUCUGGAAGAGUAAAAGAUCACAAAGCACACAAGAUGAAAACAAAAGGAAUUUUCACUGAAGGUGGAGUCAAUUGCUCUUUCGUGGUGAUAUGAUACAAAAAGGUUUGUGUCAUGGAGAGAUUGAAGAUUAACUUCAUGUAAUUUGGUCCAAGGUGGAGAUUGUUGGGAAUUGUCCCAAAUUCCUAAUUAGUAAAUAUUCCUUUUUUGUAAAGAACAUUGUAUAAAAUAUUUCUAGGUUGAUAUAUUAUUGUAAUAUUAGACUUCCUUAUAGAAUAAGGAAGGUUGUUGGAAAUAUCUCUAUAAAUAUUCUAGGUCAUGAGGGGAAAAAGUUAUGAGAUGGAGAUGGGCCUAUAGAGACUAUACAAGGUGGAUAGAGAUGUGAGGAAGAACGGGAGGUACCUGGUGGAGCGAGAGGGCUCGUAGUAAGGUAUGGAUACAAGGAGUGGGGAAACAUGGGAUGUUUCGGGAACCCAAUAGUUGUAUCUGGUUCUAUCCUCUGUAAUAUUCUCUAUUGUAUAGUGGAAUUAUUCUCUUUCAUCCGUGGACGUAGGCAUGGUUGGCCGAACCACGUUAAAACCUCGUGUACCGUAUGUGUGAUUGUUUUUAUCUUUGUGUUCUUGAACUAACAUCGUUGGCAUCAAAGCUUCCGCUGGCACAACA